AUCACUUCUCUGUCUUUUGGCUAAGAUCAAGUGUAGUAUCUGUUCUUAUCAGUUUAAUAUCUAAUACAUCAUCUAUCCAACAAAAAUAUAUUAAAUGGAUUUUUGACAUCAGGAAAUGGAAUAGGAACUUGCUCCAUCCAUGCCAUGCAUCGACCUGGUAUUGCAGUACCUCCAGAAAUGGUACACCAAGG